rnacentral:pre_miRNA from 1 species
CAUCAGGAGUUGUCAUGCCACAUAUCCGUCCUCACCCUGACCAUUAGUGGAGAGGUGCGCAUUUGGCGGAGCGGUUGCUGUCAGCACUGAG